UGGUUCACCCUGUAGAUCCGGGUUUAUCUGACCUAUUUGAAUCAAAAUAAGCUCGUCUCUACAGGCAGGACCUU